GACGAACGCUGGCGGCGUGCCUAAUACAUGCAAGUUGAGCGAUGAAGAUUGGUGCAUGCACCCAUUUGAAGAGCAGCGAACGGGUGAGUAACGCGUGGGGAAUCUGCCUUUGAGCGGGGGACAACAUUUGGAAACGAAUGCUAAUACCGCAUAACAACUUUAAACAUAAGUUUUAAGUUUGAAAGAUGCAAUUGCAUCACUCAAAGAUGAUCCCGCGUUGUAUUAGCUAGUUGGUGAGGUAAAGGCUCACCAAGGCGAUGAUACAUAGCCGACCUGAGAGGGUGAUCGGCCACAUUGGGACUGAGACACGGCCCAAACUCCUACGGGAGGCAGCAGUAGGGAAUCUUCGGCAAUGGACGAAAGUCUGACCGAGCAACGCCGCGUGAGUGAAGAAGGUUUUCGGAUCGUAAAACUCUGUUGGUAGAGAAGAACGUUGGUGAGAGUGGAAAGCUCAUCAAGUGACGGUAACUACCCAGAAAGGGACGGCUAACUACGUG
rnacentral:rRNA from 1 species